rnacentral:rRNA from 1 species
CCUACGGGAGGCAGCAGUGGGGAAUAUUGCACAAUGGGGGAAACCCUGAUGCAGCGACGCCGCGUGAGUGAAGAAGUAAUUCGUUAUGUAAAGCUCUAUCAGCAGGGAAGAAAAUGACGGUAGCUGAGUAAGAAGCCCCGGCUAACUACGUGCCAGCCGCCGCGGUCAUACGUAGGGGGCAAGCGUAAGCCGGAUUAACUGGGUGUAAAGGGAGCGUAGUCGGCAGUGCAAGUCUGGAGUGAAAGGCGGGGGCGAAACGCCCGGACUGCUCAGGAAACUGUACGGCGGGAGUGCAGGAGAGGUAAGUGGAAUGGCUAGUGUAGCGGUGAAAUGCGUAGAUAUUAGGAGGAAAACCAGUGGCGAAGGCGGCUUACUGGACUGUAACUGACGUUGAGGCUCGAAAGCGUGGGGAGCAAACAGGAUUAGAUACCCUAGUAGUC